rnacentral:rRNA from 1 species
CACGUAGGGUGCGAGCGUUGUCCGGAAUUAUUGGGCGUAAAGAGCUCGUAGGCGGUCCGUCACGUCGGAUGUGAAAUUCCAGGGCUCAACCCUGGACCUGCAUUCGAUACGGGCGGACUAGAGUUCGGUAGGGGAGACUGGAAUUCCUGGUGUAGCGGUGAAAUGCGCAGAUAUCUGGAGGAAUACCGGUGGCGAAGGCGGCAUCCUGGACCAUUACUGACGCUGAGGCGCGAAAGCUAGGGGAGCAAACGGG